rnacentral:lncRNA from 1 species
AGACGCGCGGCGGUUGGCGUGGUGUCGCCGAUGACCAUUGCGGUUUUGAGAGAUGAGAGAGACGAGCUGGGGGAGUCGUAGCUUUCCGUUGAAAAUUUCCGAUGCAGCGGCAAAGGCCGAUUAGGUGGGUUCUUCGAGUUUUCCAUGAAUUGUUUGCCCUGGGCCAUGCUGGUAUCCGGAAUCGAUUGAGCUUUGCUUCCGGACUAAAUUGGUACAACUGCAUGUGGUCUAAAAAUUCUGAUUUUUGUUCGAGAGACUCCGUUCCAGCCCGACUGUAUCCCAUGCACUGCUAUCGAGAUUGAUGGCGUUUAUUCAUGGCCAUGGGAGGUGAGUAUUUUGCAUAAGAGCAUCCGCAAUGGUUACACGAUAGUCAUUACACGAUAGGGCUAUCGUGUAAAUGUGCUAUCGUGUAACCAUUGCGGGAGAGAUUUACACGAGGGCUACACGUUCUAUCGUGUAGCCCUUUAAACCGUUUGAAUUUUUUUUAUUUUUUAUUUUUUCAAUUUUUCUUCUCUUUAUAACUAAUUCUAUCAUGGAUCUGGGAUCCUGCCAUUCCGGUGCGUCACGUUCUAUCGUGGAUCUGGGAUCCUGCCAUUCCGGUGCGUCGCUCCUUGGUUUGUUGGCAUCUUAUCCACGGGAGAUUGCCUACGGUGGAUUGCUUGAGACGUCAAGGUUUGACAACUCCUAAUGCCUGUCCGCUCUGUUGGAAUGCAGCUGAGUCUAUAGAUCACAUUUUCUGGCAAUGUCGGAUGGUGGCUCCCAUUUGGCAGACCUUUCUUGAUUAGUUUGGGAAAAUCGAUCUCAUGGAUUCUCCGGAUAUUUAUUCUUUCCUCUCUUUCGCUUGGAAUACCACGCUCAGUUCCCUCUUACAAAAGCUCUGGAAGAUUGGGGUUAUCAGCCUUAUUUGGAUUAUUUGGACGAGUCGCAACAAUGUUAUCUUUGAAGAUCAAACGUUUAGCGCGGUUGCGGUUGUGAAGUUUAUUAAGGUGGUUUAUAAGGAGACGGAUUGCAUUAAGAACCUCGGGUUUAUGAAUAAUAUUUGGAGUGAUUAUCUUACUCUUCGCGGUCUCGGAGUGAAGUCUAGACCCGCUCCACCCCCAAAUUACAUCUCUGUUUAUUGGUGGCCGCCUGACAUCAAUUGGAUCAAAGUCAACACGGAUGGUUCGGCCUUUGGAGCGCCGGGUCUUAUUUCUGCUGGUGGGGUCUUUCGAGACCAUAAAGCUGAAGUUUGUGGUUGUUUUCAUAUUAAGGGCGGCACUGGUUUUGCGUUCGAGGCUGAACUUCUCGGGGUAAUCACUGCCAUCGCCAUCGCUCACAAUCGAGGAUGGCGCCGCUUGUGGCUUGAGGCUGACUCCUCCUACGUGGUGAAUUUGUUACAGAAAAGAUGCAUGGAUGUGCCUUGGAGAUUUAGGAAUUAUUGGAUGGAUACUCUCACGCGCCUUGAGGAUUUCACGUUCACCGUUACGCACAAUUAUAGGGAAGGGAAUGCGGCUGCGGACAUCAUGGCCCAUUCGGAUCGCCGGGAAGGAUGGUGGCCUCAUGAGAUUGAUGAAAUUAAGGAGGCGGUGCGGUUGGACAUGUCUUCGCACAGUCACACUCGUCGUAUCUAGCCUUUCUGUUUUGGGUUGGAUGCUCUCGAAGAAGAGGGGAAAGUUUGGCGAUGGUGUGUUUGGCGUCGCUGCUCUGCGCGCUGGAUCUGCGCGCGGUUCUGACCUCCGGGGACACACGGCGACGGCGUCAUACCGGCCGUGCUGGUCCUUCGGUUGGGAAGGAAGAGGUUGGCGCGGUGGUUGGUUCUGCUGUUGGCUGCGGCUGGUUGGAUGCUGGUUUCACACCAAUCUUCUGUCGAGCACCUGGCGGGCGUACUAUGGGGUCGGGUGGUAAGGAGCCCUGCUGCUGCUUUGGGCGUGGAAUUUUGGUGUUGUGUGCUGUUUUUCGUGUUGUGUUCUGUAAGGCGACACCGGCGACGGCGUUUAUCCGGUCGGGCUCGCACCUUGCUUGUUUGUUCUUUGAGUUUGGUGGUUCUGGGAAGUUCACGGCGACGGCAUCUAACCGGCCGUGUCUUCUUCCUUUAGUUUUUGUUGGGUCCUUGGUUUUGGUCUUGCUAACGGCGACGGCGUCUAACCGGCCGCUUAGCUUCUUCUGUUUGGCUUUUGGCGACGGCGUCUUACCGGCCUUUAGCCUGUUUUCGUUUUUUUUGUUAGGGGUGCGAGCCGGGUUUGUUUGGGGACGAUGGUCAGGCCGGAGUUCCGGAAACUUUCCCUUCCGCUCUUCCCCUUUUUAUUUCCUUUUGCUUCCGUUCGUAGACGGGUACUCUUUUUCCUUUUUACGGUUUUUCCCUCUGGGUUUUCCGUAAAAAGGUUUUAAUGAGGCUCGGCCCUUAGUUGGCUUCUUGUGCCUUCAAGGGUUCUAAGUUUUUCUUUCUUUUUAAUAAAAUCGCAUUUUAUAUAACUAAUUCUAUCAUGUAAGCUAUCAUGUAACCCCACUGCAACAUCUUUACACCAUGUGGUCCCCCAUCAUAAAGUAGGCUAUCAUGUAAGUUAUCAUGUAACCCCAUUGCGGAUGCUCUAAGGUUGUAGUUCAUAUCUUACAAGAUGCAAUUUUGUAAAUUUUGUGGGAAUUUUGUUUCUUCUAUUUUGAGUAUGGGAGAAAGGAUAGGACUAUGUGUUCGUGUUAAAAACAUAGUGGCGUUAUUUAUUGCAUUGCAAUUUUUUCCAUUCAUAAAUGAGAAAUGUUUUGUAAAUAAUUUUAAUGGUAUUUAGCCAUGUAGCAGCUGAGUUGGCCUCUUUUAUGAGUAGAGUCACACCUAUUUGUUUCCUUUUUGUUCAUGAUGAUGUAUAAAACCUUCAUGUGAAAGAAUAAAGUAGACAUAGAGUUGUCUAUUUUCAGUUUCUGCAGUCUUGCUUGAUUUUACACGAUCUUUUCAAAUCUCUCAUCUUUUUUUUUUACUUGGCUUUGUCUGAUAAGGGGAAGCCACAACCUAUAUUUCACUCUUUAUUUGGAUUUUUUGGUUUCAUUUAGUUGCGAACGACUGAAUUCUGCCACAGGAGAAAGAGUAGCGAGAGGGAGAUCGUUUUCCAGGUUAGAUGUUUUUCUUUCGUAUAUAAAGAUGAGGAAAAUAGCUCACCAUUGCCAUCUAUUCCUUUAUUUAUGGAUUUCCUUUUUGUCUUUUGGAGGUUUUGAGCUCUCUGUAGCAGCGACUAGCUUGGGAGAGAGAGAGCAGAGAAGUAACAAGAUAAAAAAGGUCAAAGGCUUCACCUCAUCUGCUGCGAUGUAUUUGUCGAUUGUAUCCCGUCAUUGUUUGUAGGUUCAAUUCAGUGUAUGAUUUUGUGGAGUUGCCAAAGGAUUUGUCAAAGUAUGUCUUAGAUCCUUGUAUCUAUUUUUCGUGUAAAGGUCCAGAAGAACUUAUGGUUGGAUAUUAGUCAAAACUUCUAUUUGUGUCUCGUAGACUCGUUGGUUUAGAAUUUCGAGAAUUUAUUCAUCGCUUGCUGGCAUUUCCAGAUUAUUGCAGCUGUCUGAAAAUGCAUCUUGUUGCCUUCUUUUUUGUUGCAUUGUGCUUCAUAGAUUCAAUGUUUUUUUUUUUUUUUUGGUAUAAUUUGAAGUUUGAUCUAUGAUCCAUAGCCUUGUUAAACACUUGAUAUUCUUGUAUUGAAUGUAUCA